rnacentral:rRNA from 1 species
CCUACGGGAGGCAGCAGUGGGGAAUAUUGCACAAUGGGGGAAACCCUGAUGCAGCGACGCCGCGUGAGUGAAGAAGUAUUUCGGUACGUAAAGCUCUAUCAGCAGGGAAGAAAAUGACGGUACCUGACUAAGAAGCCCCGGCUAACUACGUGCCAGCAGCCGCGGUAAGACGUAGGGGGCAGGGGUUAUCCGGAUUUACUGGGUGUAAAGGGAGCGUAGACGGCAGCGAAAGUCUGGAGGGAAAUUCGAUGGCUUAACCCUGGAACUGCGUUGGAAACUGUGCAGCUAGAGUGCAGGAGAGGUAAGCGGAAUUCCUAGUGUAGCGGUGAAAUGCGUAGAUAUUAGGAGGAACACCAGUGGCGAAGGCGGCUUCCUGGACUGUAACUGACGUUGAGGCUCGAAAGCGUGGGGAGCAAACAGGAUUAGAUACCCCAGUAGUC